AUGGCCAUGUCACAUUGAAACAAUACUUCCCAUAUGAUCAUCGAAGUUAAGCAAUGUCAAGCCUGGUCAGUACCUGGAUGGGUGACCACUUGGGAAUACCAGGUGCUGCAAG